UACAGAGGGGGCAAGCGUUAUUCGGAAUUAUUGGGCGUAAAGGGCGCGUAGGCGGCUUUUCAAGUGACGGGUGAAAUCCCUCGGCUUAACCGAGGAACUGCCUGUCAGACUGGAAGGCUUGAGUCCGGGGAGGAGGUGAGUGGAACUGCGAGUGUAGAGGUGAAAUUCGUAGAGAUCGAGGCGGAACACCCGUGGCGAAGGCGGCCAGCUGGGCCGUCCCUGACGC
rnacentral:rRNA from 1 species